UCACUGGUCGAGUCGGCCUGCGCGGAAGAUGUAACGGGGCUAAACCAUGCACCGAAGCUGCGGCAGCGACACUCAGGUGUUGUUGGGUAGGGGAGCGUUCUGUAAGCCUGCGAAGGUGGCCUGUGAGGGUUGCUGGAGGUAUCAGAAGUGCGAAUGCUGACAUAAGUAACGAUAAAGCGGGUGAAAAGCCCGCUCGCCGGAAGACCAAGGGUUCCUGUCCAACGUUAAUCGGGGCAGGGUGAGUCGACCCCUAAGGCGAGGCCGAAAGGCGUAGUCGAUGGGAAACGGGUUAAUAUUCCCGUACUUGGUGUUACUGCGAAGGGGGGACGGAGAAGGCUAUGUUGGCCGGGCGACGGUUGUCCCGGUUUAAGCGUGUAGGUGUGUGUUCCAGGUAAAUCCGGUUCACUUUAACACUGAGGCGUGACGACGAGGCACUACGGUGCUGAAGCAACAAAUGCCCUGCUUCCAGGAAAAGCCUCUAAGCAUCAGGUAACAUCAAAUCGUACCCCAAACCGACACAGGUGGUCAGGUAGAGAAUACCAAGGCGCUUGAGAGAACUCGGGUGAAGGAACUAGGCAAAAUGGUGCCGUAACUUCGGGAGAAGGCACGCUGACACGUAGGUGAAGUGAUUUACUCAUGGAGCUGAAGUCAGUCGAAGAUACCAGCUGGCUGCAACUGUUUAUUAAAAACACAGCACUGUGCAAACACGAAAGUGGACGUAUACGGUGUGACGCCUGCCCGGUGCCGGAAGGUUAAUUGAUGGGGUCAGCGCAAGCGAAGCUCCUGAUCGAAGCCCCGGUAAACGGCGGCCGUAACUAUAACGGUCCUAAGGUAGCGAAAUUCCUUGUCGGGUAAGUUCCGACCUGCACGAAUGGCGUAAUGAUGGCCAGGCUGUCUCCACCCGAGACUCAGUGAAAUUGAACUCGCUGUGAAGAUGCAGUGUACCCGCGGCAAGACGGAAAGACCCCGUGAACCUUUACUAUAGCUUGACACUGAACAUUGAGCCUUGAUGUGUAGGAUAGGUGGGAGGCUUUGAAGUGUGGACGCCAGUCUGCAUGGAGCCGACCUUGAAAUACCACCCUUUAAUGUUU
rnacentral:rRNA from 1 species